UACAGAGGUCUCGAGCGUUGUUCGGAUUCAUUGGGCGUAAAGGGCGCGUAGGCGGCGGGGUAAGUCUGGUGUGAAAUCUCGGAGCUCAACUCCGAAACUGCACUGGAUACUGCUCUGCUAGAGGGCUGGAGAGGAGAUCGGAAUUCACGGUGUAGCAGUGAAAUGCGUAGAUAUCGUGAGGAAGACCAGUGGCGAAGGCGGAUCUCUGGACAGCUCCUGACGCUGAGGCGCGAAGGCUAGGGGAGCGAACAGG
rnacentral:rRNA from 1 species